CCUACGGGGGGCAGCAGUGGGGGAUAUUGCACAAUGGGGGAAACCCUGAUGCAGCGACGCCGCGUGGGCGAAGAAGUAUUUCGGUAUGUAAAGCCCUAUCAGCAGGGAAGAAGAAAUGACGGUACCUGAGUAAGAAGCACCGGCUAAAUACGUGCCAGCAGCCGCGGUAAUACGUAUGGUGCAAGCGUUAUCCGGAUUUACUGGGUGUAAAGGGAGCGCAGGCGGCACGGCAAGCCUGAUGUGAAAGCCCGCGGCCCAACCGCGGGACUGCAUUGGGAACUACCGGGCGGGAGUGCCGGAGAGGUGGGCGGAAGUCGUGGGGGAGCGGUGAAAUGCGUAGAUAGUAGGAGGAACAGCAGUGGCGAAGGCGACCUACUGGACGGUGACUGACGCUGAGGCGCGAAAGCGUGGGGAGCAAACAGGAUUAGAUACCCUUGUAGUC
rnacentral:rRNA from 1 species